GCCCCCAUCGUCUAGAGGCCCAGGACGCCACCCUUUCACAGUGGAGAUCAGGGGUUCGAAUCCCCUUGGGGGCA
rnacentral:tRNA from 1 species